rnacentral:rRNA from 1 species
CUGACGGAGCAAUACCGCGUGAGGGAGGAAGGCUCUUGGGUUGUAAACCUCUUUUCUCAGGGAAGAAAAAAAUGACGGUACCUGAGGAAUAAGCAUCGGCUAACUCCGUGCCAGCAGCCGCGGUAAUACGGAGGAUGCAAGCGUUAUCCGGAAUGAUUGGGCGUAAAGGGUCCGCAGGUGGCUAUGUAAGUCUGCUGUUAAAGAACCUAGCUUAACUAGGUAAAAGCAGUGGAAACUACAAGGCUAGAGUGCGUUCGGGGUAGAGGGAAUUCCUGGUGAGCGGUGAAAUGCGUAGAUAUCAGGAAGAACACCAGUGGCGAAGGCG